CAGAAGCAUCAUUCAAUAGAAUUUCGCAAGGGCUAGGUAUGAUGGAAUCAGAGUCAGUACCUCACAGUACCUCUCGAUCUCAAACGUAAGAAGCGAAACCAACCGAACGUUCGGGUUCGGUUCAACCAUUUCACUCGCUCAUUACGUCAAAGGUAGUUUCUCCUUGUUGUAUAUUUCUGGUGCAAAAUUUGUUUUUCUUUAUGUAAAAAGUUUUUUUUAUUGCAUAUCUAAACUCCUUGGUUUCUUAAAAAUUUUUCCAAAACCGAAACCUCCAGAAGGUUCGGGUUCGGUUUUNAUUUUCCUGAACCGAAACCUCCAGAAGGUUCGGGUUCGGUUUUCCAAAAUUUUAGUGAACCGAAACCAACCGAAGGUUCGGGUUCGGUUUUUCAAAAGUUUCCAGAACCG
rnacentral:lncRNA from 1 species